CCCCCCCCCCCCCCCCCCCCACCGAAGACAGCACCAUGGACACCGAUUUUGGAGAUGCUGGCUGCUUCACAGUCAACCGAAGCCUCUGGAGAUAAGGAGUGCGAGCCGUGGUCUACCGGCCAAAAUCUGACUCAGGCCUUGUGGAAAAACCGAGGCCAUGUCAUCAUCCUGAGCAAACAACAGGCGAAAGGAGUCUGUACUUCGUCAUCCACAGCCGACAUCAAGGAGGGACCGAGGAACCGUAUUCCCUGGAGACUGAAGGGAAUAACGCCUCUUCACGGUGGGCAGGACAAUAUCAGCAAGGGGGGCCCAGCGCAUUACUUGUGAUUUUCUGAAAAUAUAUGAUCC